GGUCCUUUUGGCCGAGUGGCUAGGCAAAGCUCUGCAAAAGCUUCUACAGCGGUUCGAAUCCGCUAGGGACCU
rnacentral:tRNA from 1 species